GUGGAUUAGAUACCCUGGUAGUCCACGCCGUAAACGAUGGGCACUAGGUGUCGGAGGUGUCGACUCCUCCGGUGCCGAAGCUAACGCAUUAAGUGCCCCGCCUGGGGAGUACGGCCGCAAGGCUAAAACUCAAAGGAAUUGACGGGGACCCGCACAAGCAGCGGAGCAUGUGGUUCAAUUCGACGCAACGCGAAGAACCUUACCUGGGCUUGACAUGUAGGUGACAGCCGUGGAAACACGGUCUCCCUUCGGGGCACCUUCACAGGUGGUGCACGGCCGUCGACAGCU
rnacentral:rRNA from 1 species